UGGGGUGGGCUCAGUAGUAGAGCACUUGCCUCGCAUGCACGAGGCACUGGGUUCGAUCCUCAGCACCACAU
rfam:Ictidomys tridecemlineatus contig062896, whole genome shotgun sequence.